rnacentral:rRNA from 1 species
UACGAAGGGGGGCUAGCGUUGCUCGGAAUCACUGGGCGUAAAGCGCACGUAGGCGGAUUGUUAAGUCAGGGGUGAAAUCCUGGAGCUCAACUCCAGAACUGCCUUUGAUACUGGCGAUCUUGAGUCCGGGGAGAGGUGAGUGGAACUCCGAGUGUAGAGGUGAAAUUCGUAGAUAUUCGGAAGAACACCAGUGGCGAAGGCGGCUCACUGGCCCGGUACUGACGCUGAUGUGCGAAAGCGUGGGGAGCAAACAGGAUAGAA